UGAUCACAUUUUCCGCUGAUGUAAUGACGCGGCUCUGCUUGGCUCUUGGCCUAUGGAAAAGCAAACCGGUUCUUUGGAAGCACCAGGUUGGAACCAGUUAAGCACUGGCUCUAGCACCGGCAUCGAACUAGCACCAGGUUCUUUUUGGUGGAAAAGGGGUUUACGUUAAUUUGUAAUU